rnacentral:rRNA from 1 species
AUUGAACGCUGGCGGCAUGCCUUACACAUGCAAGUCGAACGGUAACAGGGAGCUUGCUCCGCUGACGAGUGGCGAACGGGUGAGUAAUAUAUCGGAACAUACCCUAGAGUGGGGGAUAACGUAGCGAAAGUUACGCUAAUACCGCAUACGAACUAAGGUUGAAAGUGGGGGAUCGCAAGACCUCAUGCUCAUGGAGUGGCCGAUAUCUGAUUAGCUAGUUGGUGAGGUAAAGGCUCACCAAGGCGACGAUCAGUAGCUGGUCUGAGAGGACGACCAGCCACACUGGAACUGAGACACGGUCCAGACUCCUACGGGAGGCAGCAGUGGGGAAUUUUGGACAAUGGGCGCAAGCCUGAUCCAGCAAUGCCGCGUGAGUGAAGAAGGC